GGCAUGCAGAGGUUCCCAGGCUAGCAGUUGAAUUGGAGCUGUAGCUGCUGGCCUACGCCACGGCCACGGUAACUCGGGAUCCAAGCCAUGUCUGCGACCUACACCACAGCUCACGGCCACACCAGAUCCUUAACCCACUGAGCAAGGCCAGGGAUCAAACCUGCGUCCUCAUGGAUGCUAGUCAGGUUCGUUUCCGCUAAGCCAUGCUGGGAACUCCCAGGAUGGGAAGAUCUUGAAUGAACGAGACACGUACAUUCAUUAGGGAUGAUCAGAGGCGUUCUGUAUGGAUUGCUUGCCAGGCACCGGGUGGAUGCUGGAGACCCCACAAGUCCUCUGGUAUCCCCAGCUCCCAGUCUGAUGAUCCUAAUGCAGAAGGUAGAGAGACUUUAAGCCAUCUGCCCCACAUCUGUGGCUCUAUAGGGGCAGGGCUGGGGAAGGGGUACUCUCACUUCUUACUGCCUCCUCCAGGCUGUUAGGGCGGAAAGGAUGCAUCUAGAGCUCUUGGCCCAAGCCCCCCUCUCUGGACGAGGACAGGGAGGCCCAGAGGGGAAGUGACUUGCUCAAGGCCUUCCAGAAGAAGAUGCUGGGCAGCCCCUCCCCCAGCUCUGUUCUCCCGGCCUCUCACCAAGGGUUUUGCAUUCUUGCCUCUACACUCUUCCUGACACACCCAUGGAGCUGGAGCCUCUACUUAGUGAGGUUGGACUCUGUUGAAAGACCGCGCGGUGUUCUGGCCACAGGCAAACAGAUCUCACUGUCUACACCACGAGACCAGGAGGAGGGGCUGCAAGACCAUCGGGGCCCAGUGGGCCAGGCGCCAGCAUUUGAUUCUCCUCCCUUCCUUCCCCUUCCAUCCCGCCCUUGCCAUUCUCACUGGCUGUCUACUCCCCUACUUCUGCCCGGAAACUCAGAAUUUUUUUGAAGAACAUCUCAAAAGUCACCUAAACCCUUGCUUUUCCAGGUAUGGUCCACAGACCAGCAGUAGGGCCAUCCCGUCUCUCAGAAAUGCAGAGCCUGGAGCUCCACCCCAGACCUCCCGAAUCAGAGUUGGCUUUAACACAGGAGCUUGCCCAGGUGACCUGUAUGCAGAGUAGAGUUUGAGACGCACUAGUCUAAACCACAGGGGGCUCGAAGCCACGGGGUAUAUCAUCACUAAGCAUGCGUGAACACCUCUAACCGGGCAGCCAGAAUCACCAUCCCGUCUUUGGACAAGUAAGGCACUGGGGGUGGGGCAGGGAUGGAAGAGGCGGGAGGUGGUCCACCAGUGGUCCUGAGUGCCCCCUGCUGAGUCUGUAAGCCCUCCCCAUCCUCCCUCGACCCAAGCCAUUUCCCUAGCUAGUCACUUAGGUAACUAAGUGGGUCGUGGACCACCGCAUGGAUACAGCACAAGUGCCAGCUCCCCAGAGAAGGGGAACUGGCUUGCAUACUGCUUGAUGCAAAAGGUGCUGAGCCCUCAGCCCUGAGUUCUUCCAGUGCAGUGUAACCUACAGGCACCAUCUGGGUCCCUCACAUCCCCCCGCCUCCCAUGGGUGCUACCAUGCUGAUGAUCGGGCUGUUUCCUUGCUGGGGUCAUAAACUCUCUAGCUGAUCCAUAGAGUCUUGGCCAUGUCGUGGCACCUAUGCUAUGAGAUUGGGUUCUUCCCUGACUACCUGUGUCUCGGGGGGGAGGGGGGGGGGGUCAGGGAUGCAUCUGUUUGUCUGUGUUUGUGCCAUUAGUGGCCAUUUCUGAAAAAUUAAGUAUCUUCCCAUGGACUCAGAGAAAGGCUUACACCUGGGGGCUCACACUAGGAUGCUGAUUUGAACUGAUUCAAAGGGCACCCGGCCUUUCUUGAGCACCUACGUGGGGCCAGGCCUUGGGCCAGAUGCUCCACUUUCUUAUUAUCUCACUGACUCCUCUCCGCAACCCUGCAGGGUGGCAUAUGCCCUUUUUACAUUUGAGGCAGGUGAAGCGCUACCCCAGUAACGAGCAUCAGUUAUCUGGACGCAGGCAAUAAAGAAGUAAACGACAAGUGAGGUGAUUUCGGCAAAGGAGACCUAUGAAUGCAAGGCAGUGUGACAACAACUAAUUAAUAUAUAAUGACUGUAGGUCAAGCUGGCCCCAACAGACAGGGUCCUGGGGCUCCUCGAGCUGGGCUGACAAGCUCCACUCUGAGGAGGCACUGUGGAGCCAUGCCACAGGGAGGUGAAACUGGCAAGGACAGAAGACCUUCAUCCUGGUUCUCCAGGAAGGAGGCAGGAGGGGCGUGGAUGUAGCUGAUGCCAGGCUCUGUGCCAGGUGUUCCACACGCAUGGUGGAAGAUCACCAUUCACUCACUCUGGACUUGCACAUCGUGAAGUGCCAGGGCCUGUCCUGGAUGCUGGGAGCCAUGUAGCCUGGGUAGAGUGUCUGUAAGUUUCCCCUCUGGCAUCUAUUCCCGCUUCCGGCACCAGGCCCCCUAAUGUCCUUGCAGAGUCCCCUUUUCGAAAUGCUUCACUCUGAUUGGCUGGCCCAAGGACCAACCAAUCAGCCCUCGCAUCUGCCCCACGUAGUGAAUGGUGCAGGAAAGGGUACAGGGCCCAGCCAAUCACAAGCUGCGGUCUGGGGGCUUGGGAGGAAUCUGCUGGGAAGAGGAACUGCUGAAAGAAUAGAAUAGAAGUAUGGAUCUGCUGGCAGCCAGCCAUUGUUAAGUGGCUUGAACAAGGCUGCACAACAGCUGUCUGAAGACUCUCCAAGUCAAAACCUAUGCCCUUUCCACUACUUCGGGGUAGCACUCUAGUGUUGAGGGUGACAAACAGCAGCCUAGGGCAGGUAGGGUCUUCCAUGGCAGGGAGUAAAGGGACCCCCUAGGAGAGGUGCCCCUGGGGGAUAGUAAAUCAGAACAAGAACUUGCUCUAGGAGUUCCCGUUGUGGUGCAGCAGAAACGAAUCCAACUGGUAUUUGUGAGGAUGUGGGUUCAAUCCCUGGCCUUGCUCAGGGGCUAAGGAUCCAGUGUUGCCAUAAGCUGGGGUGUAGGUUGCAGACAUGGCUGGGAUCUGGCAUUGGUGUGGCUGUGGUAUAGACCUGCAGUUGUAGCUCCAAUGCAACCCCUAGCCUAGGAACAUCCAUAUGCCACAAGCCUAGCCCUAAAAAGGCAAAAAAAAAAAAAAAGAACUCGCUCUAACCAGAGACAGGCCUGCAGAGAGGCAGCAGAAGAAAGGAUGACAGCUUGGAAACUGGUGGCUGGUUUUUUCCCAAGUUUUACUUUUGUUUUAGUUGCCAAUGUGAACAAAACAGAUUUCAUGUAAAAAUGUGGAUGUUGAGCUUUUCUGGAAAAUCAGAAGCUCCAGCAACACUAGGCUAGGCGGUCCCGUGGCAGCGAUUUGACAGAGCUAGGCAGUGUUGGCCAGACAGGCAGGGCACUUGCCUUCAGACCUCCAGCCUCCGGUGUCAUGCAGGGACAUCUUCCGCUGAGGCUGGGCUGCUGUGUAGACGCUGACCUCUGAGAGCCCAGCCUCAGGGAGAUGGGGGUGCUGCGAGGGACCUCCCCAGCCCUCUAGCCGCUGUCCACUCUGGCUGUUCCCAAGUCCCUGGGGCUCAGGAUGUUUCCCAGCAGGGGCUCAGUCCACACUUGGUGAGGGAGUUCCCAUCAUAGCUCAGCAGUCAUGAACCCGACUAGUAUCCAUGAGGUUGUUAGUUCGAUCCCUGGCCUCGCUCGGUGGGUUAAGGACCCAGCAUUGCCGUGAGCUGUGGUGUAGGUCAUAGAUGCAGCUCAGAUCCUGCGUUACUGGGCUGUGGCUGUGGCGUAGGCCAGCAGCUGUAGCUCCAGAUUCCACCCCUAGCCUGGAAACUUCCAUAUGCUGCAGGUGUGGCUCUAAAAAGCAAAAGAAAAAAGAAAAGAGCACACUUGGUGGGUGUUGGAAGAAAAUGAGAGGAUGAAUUGGGGGCUUCCAAGACUACCUCACAGCAACCUUACAAACCCACUCCAAGAGGCAGCUUGGUGUUGAAGUCGGGAACUUUGUGGGCUCUGGAGUGAGAGAGCUUGGGUACAAAUUGUGGCUCCACCACAGACAACAGUGGAAGUUAUUUCAUCUUCUGGGCCUUCAGUUACCCCUCCAUAAAAUGGGCACAAGCAUAGUCAAAGAGCGUUGUUGCGAGCAAAAUGGUAAGCAAUCAGUAAAUAACUUCUUAGCCUGACCUCUUCCUUGGAUUCACCGCCCUUAGAUAAAUCCCUUCCCCUCUCUGAGCCUCAGUUUACAGAAGGUAGUUAGGUUUGAUCUUCUGCAAGGACCUGCCAGCCCCUGUAUUCCAUGUCAUGAAAAUUCAGCAUCUGUGCAAACUCCCAGCACUGGCCACAGAGAAGCCCCCCAGCAGGCCACAGGGGUCUCUCUGCUGAAUUUGACUGCGGUCAAAACAGACCCAAACGUCCAGCAUGGUAAAACCAUUGGAUUCCAGAUUUCUUUAGAUUUAGCCCAAGUUCCAGCCCUGGGACCCGCUGUGGCUCAUUUACUCCAAGUCAUAACUCAAAGGCCCACGGACAGAGCUGGAAGGAGCUGGCCCUGGGGGGCCCUUUCGGGGAUCCCUGAGUGUCCGGUCCUGGCUUCUGAGAGCCUGCAAGCAGGGCUCGGCACAGGCGUUUCACUGCGGCUGGCGCCCGGGCAUCCAGCUGGCAGGGCUGUUUCCAUUUCCCUCACACGCCCCCGGAUGGGAAAUGAUUCAUGAAAACCAAGAAGGUAAAAUUAGCCCAAAGGCUGCCGAGUAAUUUAUGCAGCCAACAGCCCCAGGAGGGAGGGAAGGCCCCCCGCUGCCAGCUCCGUGUGGCCUCCUGGGGGCUGGCGGAGGCCAGUCUGGCCAUUAGGAGCCUCUGCCUCUGGGGGCUUCUAUUUCUGGACUCCGCCUCCACGGCGGUUGGCAAGACUUCCAGAGCUUUCUCUGACCCCCUCCCCAAAACACUCAACAGAUCCACGCAUGCCACUGGGGACCUGCUAAGGUCAGUGGGUCACUGGGGAGACGCAUGUCACCAAAGUUUCCCCUCCUGUGUUUUACAGGUGAGGACACUGAGGCUCAGAGAGGCCCAGUGGGUGGCCAAAGUGAGGGUCAAGGUCCAAAUUCAAACCCAGGUCUUGUGACCUCCAGAAGCAGGCUUCCCCCGAUGUGGGGUGCUGUCUGCCAAACCCCAAUUUCUCAGGGUGGGGCGAGGGGAGCAGUCACCUCGGCAGCCCCCACCCCCUCUCUCGGCACCCUGCCACCUGCUUCUCUCAGUCUCAGGACUAUUUAGGACGGGAACCUGGUCCUUGAUGUCAAGUUCAGUUGUCCCAACGGGCAAGGCGGAGAGUCCCCAAUAUCCCACUCCCUUCAAAUGAGGUUGAGAAAAUGCCAGUUUGGAGUUCCCGUGGUGGCGCAGUGGUUAACGAAUCCGACUAGGAACCAUGAGGUUGCGGGUUCGGUCCCUGCCCUCCCUCAGUGGGUUAACGAUCCGGCGUUGCCGUGAGCUAUGGUGUAGGUUGCAGACGCGGCUCGGAUCCUGCAUUGCUGUGGCUCUGGUGUAGGCUGGUGGCCGCAGCUCCGAUUCGACCCCUAGCC
ensembl:lncRNA